CGGGCUAUAGCGCAGUUGGUAGCGCGCUUGCAUGGGGUGCAAGAGGUCGUGGGUUCAAAUCCCACUAGCCCGA
rnacentral:tRNA from 1 species